rnacentral:rRNA from 1 species
GUUGGGUAGGGGAGCGUUCUGUAAGCCUGUGAAGGUGUGUCGUGAGGCAUGCUGGAGGUAUCAGAAGUGCGAAUGCUGACAUAAGUAACGAUAAAGCGGGUGAAAAGCCCGCUCGCCGGAAGACCAAGGGUUCCUGUCCAACGUUAAUCGGGGCAGGGUGAGUCGACCCCUAAGGCGAGGCCGAAAGGCGUAGUCGAUGGGAAACGGGUUAAUAUUCCCGUACUUGGUGUUACUGCGAAGGGGGGACGGAGAAGGCUAUGUUGGCCGGGCGACGGUUGUCCCGGUUUAAGCGUGUAGGUGUGUGUUCCAGGUAAAUCCGGUUCACUUUAACACUGAGGCGUGACGACGAGGCACUACGGUGCUGAAGCAACAAAUGCCCUGCUUCCAGGAAAAGCCUCUAAGCAUCAGGUAACAUCAAAUCGUACCCCAAACCGACACAGGUGGUCAGGUAGAGAAUACCAAGGCGCUUGAGAGAACUCGGGUGAAGGAACUAGGCAAAAUGGUGCCGUAACUUCGGGAGAAGGCACGCUGACACGUAGGUGAAGUGAUUUACUCAUGGAGCUGAAGUCAGUCGAAGAUACCAGCUGGCUGCAACUGUUUAUUAAAAACACAGCACUGUGCAAACACGAAAGUGGACGUAUACGGUGUGACGCCUGCCCGGUGCCGGAAGGUUAAUUGAUGGGGUCAGCGCAAGCGAAGCUCCUGAUCGAAGCCCCGGUAAACGGCGGCCGUAACUAUAACGGUCCUAAGGUAGCGAAAUUCCUUGUCGGGUAAGUUCCGACCUGCACGAAUGGCGUAAUGAUGGCCAGGCUGUCUCCACCCGAGACUCAGUGAAAUUGAACUCGCUGUGAAGAUGCAGUGUACCCGCGGCAAGACGGAAAGACCCCGUGAACCUUUACUAUAGCUUGACACUGAACAUUGAGCCUUGAUGUGUAGGAUAGGUGGGAGGCUUUGAAGCGUGGACGCCAGUCUGCGUGGAGCCGACCUUGAAAUACCACCCUUUAAUGUUUGAUGUUCUAACGUGGACCCGUGAUCCGGGUUGCGGACAGUGUCUGGUGGGUAGUUUGACUGGGGCGGUCUCCUCCUAAAGAGUAACGGAGGAGCACGAAGGUUGGCUAAUCCUGGUCGGACAUCAGGAGGUUAGUGCAAUGGCAUAAGCCAGCUUGACUGCGAGCGUGACGGCGCGAGCAGGUGCGAAAGCAGGUCAUAGUGAUCCGGUGGUUCUGAAUGGAAGGGCCAUCGCUCAACGGAUAAAAGGUACUCCGGGGAUAACAGGCUGAUACCGCCCAAGAGUUCAUAUCGACGGCGGUGUUUGGCACCUCGAUGUCGGCUCAUCACAUCCUGGGGCUGAAGUAGGUCCCAAGGGUAUGGCUGUUCGCCAUUUAAAGUGGUACGCGAGCUGGGUUUAGAACGUCGUGAGACAGUUCGGUCCCUAUCUGCCGUGGGCGCUGGAGAACUGAGGGGGGCUGCUCCUAGUACGAGAGGACCGGAGUGGACGCAUCACUGGUGUUCGGGUUGUCAUGCCAAUGGCACUGCCCGGUAGCUAAAUGCGGAAGAGAUAAGUGCUGAAAGCAUCUAAGCACGAAACUUGCCCCGAGAUGAGUUCUCCCUGAGACUUUAGGUCUCCUGAAGGAACGUUGAAGACGACGACGUUGAUAGGCCGGGUGUGUAAGCGCAGCGAUGCGUUGAGCUAACCGGUACUAAUGAACCGUGAGGCUUAACCUUACAACGCCGAAG